AAGGACACCACUGCUUCAUAAAAAAUGAAGGCGGCCAUAGUGAUAUCAUCUAUUCCCGUCACGAUGAUUUGGAUUCGGUCAGCAGAUUACCGGCGUCUAGGGCCAGUCAACGAUGACGGCGAUUCGAUUGUACAAUUUGACCGGCAAGCACAUGUAACAGUUUCGAGGAGCGUGUGCGGGUUUUGCUUGGAAUCCAGUCGCUACAGAACUCAAAGUUAGCGAGUAAGGGUUGUAUAGAUGAAAUCGGACAAGAGGGAAACAAUGAUGGUUAAGAUGGAAUAUGUUGGUGACCGACGGUGACGAAGAAGUUGCCAGAAACGAAGAAGCCUAAUCGAGUAAUAGACAGCCAUAGUUCGGUCCUCCGAAACCUGAUGGACAACCAUAGGUCUGCUUCUCUCUUCUUUAAGUUUUCUAUGUAUGAAAUUCAUUAUUAUAUAUCAAUAAUGCCUUGAGUUUUCAGUAGGAAGAGAGAGGUGGAUUUGAAAGUAUUAAAGGUUGUUGUUAGUGAAGGUUGUUGUUGGAGAAUGAACAGAAUGAUAAUAACACAAAGUACAAGUGUUGGUGUACUUAAUUAUAUGGUUUAAAAGAAUGAUAACUAUUGAGGAUGUCUAGAAAUCGACAAGUGUUGGUAUUAACUAUAUGGUUCAAAAGAAUGGUAAUUAAUUAAUCCACACAUAUUGCAAGGUAGAUUGCAACUUUUUCUAUACUAUGAAAUAAGUUAGGAUUGUUUGAAAUUUGCAUUGUAUUUGAUUUAACUUUACUCCACAGUCGACGAUGUGAUUAGAAAGGUAUUAAAAGUCAACUUAUGCAAGUUUGGUUAUUUGUUUUAUAACCUUUUAAACAUACAUGGUGCAAGAAUGUUGGAACAUAUUUGUUUGAGAGUUUGAAGUUACUUGCUUGAAGUUCCAUUUUUUAUGCCAACACCAGCACACAAUUUUCGCCUAAUUUUAACAUCCUUUAAUUUGAAUGUAUGUUUUUACAGGACCCAACCGAUAAAAAUUGGCAAUGACUAGGGGUGUUCAGAAUUCGUUUCGAAUUCGAAAAAUUCGAAAUUCGUUUACAUUCGAUUCGAUUAUCAAGAAUUCGUUUCGAUUAAAAGAAUUCGAAUUCGAAUUCGAUUCAAUUCGAGUCAAGUAAAUCGAAUACGAAUCGAAUACGAAUUUAUAAUUUCAAAUUCGAUUCGAUUCGAAAUUCAAAUAAAAACUAUACAUUUUUAUUUAUGAUUUUUAAAUAUAAUGCAUAUAUAACUUUUAUUAAGCUAUACUAUAAAUUUUUUUCAAAUUUUUUUCCAAGUAUUAAAAUUACAUAUUACCAAACCCACUACAUGGCCCAUAAGUCCAUAACUAAAACCUAAGUAACAAAUCUAUCAAUAGAUUUAUAACCCUAUAGAUAUUAACUUUUAGUGUGGUGUGUUUAUUCGACUUCUCGUUUUGAAUUUUAGACUUAUUGUACUUUAUUUGGAACUUUAUAAUGUGAUAUCGUGCUUAUGGAUGCUUUAAAAUUUAUGUUUCAUUUUGAAAGUUUUAACAUGUUUAUACAGAAUCUGAAUUAAAUCGAAUUUAUUCGAAUUCGAUUCAAAUUCGAAUUUUUAAUCGAAUACAAAGCGAAUACGAAGUGGGUUUUUUUAUUCGAAUACGAAUUCGAAUCGAAUUCGGUAAGUUUUAAUCGAAUUCGAAUCGAAUACGAAUUCAAGGAAAAAUAAAAAUUAUUCGAAUAAUUCGAUUCGAAUAAUUUGAAAAUUCGAUAUUCGAUUCGAUGAACACCCCUAGCAAUGACAAUUACAUAUCUCAAUGGGAAUAAAAAUGAGCGGGUUGGUGCAAACAAAAAAUGUAGUUUCAAUUAUGGAUUUAUGUUGCACAAAAUUUGGUAAUAAUCUAUAUAUAUUUUGUUUAAUCAUUUCUUGCUUUCUCAAAUUUGAUGGUAGUUGGCUUGCUGGUAAAUAACCCAACUUUCCUUUGUUUUAAAUAACCCGACUCUCCGGCAAGGUAAAUAAUCUGACUUUCCUUGCUUUCUCAUAAUUGAUGGUGGAUGGGUUGCCGGGAAACCGCCACUCUGUGUGCAUCAUACUUCAUCUAAUAACCGAGUAGUCGUGAUAGGUGCAUCUGCAAAUACACACAACCGAAAUUUGUAACAAAGCCUGAACUGAAACUAUUAACCAUCUAGCUCUCAGGGUUCAGCCAUAAAACAAAACUGUAGGAAGAGUACAAAGAUGUACCCCUGUUUGAAGAGGAACAAGCUGCUCGUCAUGCUGCUAUUGCAGUCGCUGAGGCAUGUUUCCUUUUUGUUUUUGCUUUUCGUUUUAAUACAAACGAAGACUAUAUGAUGAAAUUGGCCAUUUCUUUAUAAAUAUACAUGCAUAUGCAUCAUCUGGUGCCAAAUGCAGCAGACCCUUGUAGCUUCCAAAGAUACCAUUUUUCACAAAUUUGCAGGACGGGAGCAGUAGUAUGCACAUAUGGAUGAAUCUGAGUUCUGUAAGAAGUGGGUUGGUGACAUUACCGUAAAGUAAGGGAUUGGUCAGUAGACUUUUCUGUUGCCGACUUUCCGCAAUCAACAUCAAGAGUUCCAAAAUAUAAGUUGAUAGCCAUUCAUAACCAAGCAGAUUGAAUGAAAAUGCCAAAGUUACAAAGAACAUCCGGGUGAAAGUACGGUUGUUGACAAGAGCAUAAGCAUGGGUUGAUGAAGGGAUAAAAGACCAUAUUGCCUUUGAAAGAUGGCAAUCCCAACUGAUGACUUGGCAAAUGAGAGCUCAACUUCUCAGGUACUGUGAGCAGGGAGUUAAUUGGUAACCAACCUCGAGGUGUAGACAAAAUCAAACAAUAUGUUGUUGAUUAAUUAUAUGGAAUCGCUUUUUAUGCCUCUUUGUAAAGCAAGAAAAGUUGACGAAGAAGAACGUUACAAGUCGAUAAUGAAGAAAACAGCCACCAAGGUCAUGAAGUAGACUGACUACCAACACAAAGAAAGUGAUGGUUGUAUACGAAUUUCUUGAUUAUAAACGCAAAAACAAGCCUGGCCAUCCAAGUUUACUGAUCAUUCCCGCAACUCUUUGAUUGCUUCUGUUAUAGUUGACGAACGACACCAACAAGCCGCCGCCAACCUAACCGUUGACAUCCAACGAUCGCUGCAAAGGGUUUGAAUUUUGUAUAUCUGUUCCUUGCUUUAACAAACAACUAAUUAAGCCCUUGUAUUAUAGGAGUCGGAACCUUUAGAUAUUGAUCCAUGUGACUUGUAGUUCAUAAAAUGAUCACAUUGAUUGAUAAAAAUGAAGAGACAGAACCGUAGACUGACCGUCAAGCAUAUUUUGGGCCUCAUCCAGUUAACCCAGCUUAUGUCUUUCUGUUCGCUUAUUUGUUGUUAACAAUCGUGUAACAGUUACAAAAACUUUUACUUUUUAGUCAUUUAUUGGGUGUUUGAUGCUAAUCAAGAGUUCAUUUAAUGUUUCUGAAUUGUCCUUAUAACGCAAAGAAAUUACCCACGAAGAAGUUAGAAAGUUCGUUUAAUAUCA